CCUCACUCUGGAACCCCCUACAGAUCCCUCAUGAUCUGGCUAGAGACCAUAUAAAGUGGGGCUAAGAAUACCUCACAGGGUAAUGGAAAGAAUGAAAUGAGAUGAUGUAUCUAAAGCAUCUGGCAGAGGGUCUUACAUAGUAAGAAACUCUGAGUAAUGCCUGACACUUAUAACUCGUUAUUAAUAUCUCUCCAUCUCCAGCAACCAGCACGGUGCCUGGACAAUAGACAUUUGAGAACUAUUUGUUGAACUGAACUAUUUUGGAAAACUUUAGGCUGACAUAGACAUCUGAAGCAUAUCUUAGUAUAUAUGACUUCAGAAAUGAUUCUCUGUAGUUAAGCAGAAUGUGCUACCUCACUUUGCUAGGGCACCCAAAAGAGUUUUAACUCCAAAGAGUAGAUAGCCCUGUAACUCUCCAGUCAUGCAACUAAUAAGCAUAUCUUUCUGGUCCUUGAAGCCAUCAAUUUUAAUGCAGCUGAAGCUCAAAUGGGAUAGCUCACCACUUUGAAGUCAGACUUGUUAUCGUAAGUCAUCUCAUCAUCAUUCAAAAUGAAAGAGAACCCCAUUUCGUUUCCUUUCCUUAGAACAAGGGCUUCAGAACUCCCCAGGGCUAGCUAGUCUCAUUGGAUCGCUGACCUUUUCAGUAUUGAAAUUCCUAUGCAAAUUUCCUUCUCAGCAUCCCAGGGCUUUGAUCCUUUGUGCGAUGAAUUUUAUUUGUCGAAUGGAUGAAAAAUGCAGUUAUCAGACAUGCCCAGGUCACCUUUGGAGAGUGUUGUGAUAACAAAUGUCCCCAAAUGCGACCAUUGAUUUUCUCUUCCUUUGAGGACCUUAAAGAGCCUCUAGGUUAACCCCAUUAUCAUCAGAUCAUCAGUGAUCACUUCUCAGAAGUUUAGCUAGACAGAAAAAGUGGAUGAAAUUGAACUGAAUUUGUAUCAAUCCCAGUCAUUGCCUAAAAUCUGGCAGUUCAACUAAAACUCUGAUAGUUGGUUAUGUUGUCACUUUUCUCUUUUCCCUGAAAACUGGUAUAUGGAACCUCCCACCCACCACCAACACGCACAAAAAAGCCCAACUAGUGGAGGAUUAUGGAUUCACAUGUUCUGAGGGGAUUUAAUUUGAGGAAAGAAUGACUCUAGUGUGGUUUUGAUCAGGAGAGGCUGCCUGGAGAAGGUCUCUAGCCAGACCAUGAAGGACUGGUAGGGGAUUCCAGAGUCGAGGAAGAGGAUCUGGAUGUGAGGCAAAGCACAUAGUGUGCACAUAAUAAACUAGGGUUGAUGCUAGUGGUUUUAUGCUCAGGGCAAGACUGGGAUUGCCCUCUCUUCUGUCCAAAUCAUCAGAAACAAACCAUGGAAGGUCCAGAAACACAGAGGCUGAAAAUAUUCACCCCUAGGGAAAAGCACUUGCUAGGAGUGGGAGAUAUAAUUUAUUUUCUUUUCUUUUUCUUUUCUUUUCUUUUUUUUUGGAGACAAUGUCUUGUAAUAUUUCCCAGGCUGGAGUGCAGUGGCAAUUCACCGGCACGAUCAUAGCUCGCUGCAGUAUUGAACUCCUGGGCUCAAGCUAUCCUCCCACCAUGUCCGGCAGAAAAUAUGAUUUCUGAUCUUUAUUCUACCACUGACUUGUUCUAUGAUGAUGGUCAGGUCAUUUAAACCUCUCUUAGAUCAUUUCCUUGGCAAUAAGAUAGAUGUAUAAUCAGGCUACCAUACAGAACUGGUGGGAAGAUUAUACGAGAGCUCACAAAUAUCUAUCAGAUAUAAGUUAUUGAGAUACUAUUAUUAAAAUGUAAAUAUCACAGGAAGGGAGACCACCUUCAGUCUUGUCAGCUUGCAUCUUAUUGGAUAAUUAAUGCAGCUGCUCAAGGACCCCACGAAAUGGGCAUCAAGUACAGAGAAGAGAGAGAAUUUUUUUAAAACAAAUGAAGAAACCAAAUCUCAGAGAGCUUUAAUCACUACCCAGUUGUGAAGCAGGGACUAUGCCAAAUCAUUUAUCAUAAAUGUAAAUUACUUCACUGUUUUGUGCCAAUACUCUGGAAACCUGUUUGUAUCUCUUCGGAAGGCCCUGCCUUCCACAGGAAGGUUCUGCCAGACAUGGUGGGAGGAUCCCUUGAGCCCAGGAGUUUGAGGCUGCAGUGAGCUAUGAUUGUGCUGGGAAUUGGUGAGAAUUUCAAGGGGAAACUUGACUGAGAGGAAGAGAAAGCUAAAGAAGUAUCAAAUUCCUCUCUAAGACAUCUUCACUAGUCUUCCAGAACAUCUCCGCCUUGGGAAGCAGAACUCUGAGGUCCAGGAAGACCUUCCGACCAAUCCACUGAGACAUUGCUACGGCUGCCUCCUCUUCACUUUCUGGCCUCUUGAGCCAACAUCCAACAUGAUCUUCAUGAGAGGUUGCCGGUUACCUUUCUAAAAACGUAUUUGACCAGAUUUCUUCAUGAUAUUUCAAAAUGUAAAGGCAGAAAACAAGUUAAACUUUAAACAAAUUUAAAUUUAAACAAUCUAAAAGGGAAUUUAAGUAAGCGUAUGACUUUGUUGCAGAGGUUCUAGGCUUCCUUUUUUACAAAAGGAUGGGAAAUUUUAAAGCAACUGCUCUGACUAACCCAGAAAAAUCUUUCUUUGUUUAUCUCCUUUGUAUUUAGCCCCAAUAUCUGAGAAAAUUUUAAACAUAGUUUUUUUUUCUAGGAUUGGUGCCUAAGGGUCAUUCCCUUACGAAAACCCUAACUUUUUUUACACCUUUGUUGAAUGAAGGAGCUGGUGGAAGUUCAAAUUUGUGUGUUAACAUGUGACUUCAAUUAGAGUCUGAAGAUGGCCACUUGUUAGUAAUCUCACACUGCAUCAUUUUAAAAAAACACAGCAUUUUUGUUCUGGUGAAGAGAGAGGCACUGGAAUUCAUCCCCAUUGUCCACUCCCCACCCAGUGUAUUUUACAGAAAUUCUUAACAAGUUUAAUAGUGUGCUAUUAUAACAUAAUUGCAGCAUUACACCAGAAGCAUUAUCAACACUAAGUAUUCUCCAAUUUAGAAUGCAUGAAUAAAG
rnacentral:lncRNA from 1 species